AUGCUUUCAUACUUCACAGGGGACAAAAUCUUGAUCUAUUGCAAUCCAUAUUUUUUGUUUCUUAAUGAGUGAAACUAUUUUCUUUUUUUUUUUAUUAUUCUCUAGUGUGAUACUGUAGGAAAUGUUCCUUUGCUGAAAACUGAGUAAAAGGGCUAAGCUUUUGGAAAAGGAGCAACGCCAUUAAGAUGGACGGUCUCCAGCAGAAGAAGGAAGAGCAUAGAACAUAUCAGAAAAAAACUUUGCCGUAAUGGUAGGAUAGGGGAAGGGAGGCCAAGGAAUCGGAAAAAGUUCUGGAGAAUCCAGCAUCUGUUGGUGACUAUUAACCAUCUUCCCCAAAGCAGUGACUGCCUGGUGCUUGUGUGAUGUUGCCUGGAG
rnacentral:lncRNA from 1 species